UUUCCAAUCGAGCCUCGAUUGAAAAAUCGAGGCUCAAUACCGGAGGGAGCCUGGGGCGAGCGAGGGUAAUCAUGUUCUGGCAUGUUCGUCGUGAACUCAGUACUUUUUUUAAAUUUUAAAAAGAACGCGAGAGGGGGAAAGAAUAUUUUUACGCUGCUAAGGAGGUGGAGGAAAUGAUUGUAAGCUCUAAUGACAUCCUUAUGCCAUGUUAUCCUCUAAAAUGCAGUAGGAUGCCAGUGGAUCAACUAUCAUCAGAGAUGGCCACUUUUACCAACAUUAAAAUCAGUAUCCUUACUGGUUGGUAAAAUACUGGGUAUUUUACUCAUUAGAUAAUAUGCUUCUCACCUGCGUGUGCAAAAAUAAUUCCAGAUGUACCUGGUAGUGGUUCCUGAAACUAGAUAAAAAGUAAAGGGAAGUAUGCCAUCCACAAGAGUCAUGUGUAACUUACUUUUAACAACAAGGAACAAUAGCAAAAACCAAGAUGCCACUGCCUCAAUCUCUUGCUUUCCUUAAUAACCAUGACUAUCAUAACGUAGAUAUAGUAUUAUAAAAUUAAAUAGACACUAAUGAAAUGUACAUGAAGUAAUCUAAUUACAUGACCUCAUAUUUCAAUGGCAAAUUAAAAUAGGGCAUUCAAUACCUCAACUAAACACACUUGGAAAAUGAUGUUAGCAACAUGAUCUCUAUUUACUUAUAGUUAUUUAGGUUGAUAAGUUGUUUACAUUAUAGCAUGACCCUUAUUUAAAACUAUAGUGAUAAUAGAUACUGUCAGUUGUUCCACCUUGCUGUUGUAAAUAUUAUUUGGUCAGGUGUUGAUGUUAGUGUUAUGCAGGAGGAAGUCACGACAGUUUAUUUUGUUCAGUUUUAUGUAUAUUGGCAUAUCUUAAAUUAUUUUGGUUAAAAUGAGAACUAGAUCACAUGAAGAACAUUAAGUAAGUCUGCACAAAAUAAUGCCUCUCACAAAGAACCUUGUCAGAAGGGACCCGUCAGUCUGCCCCAAGUGUCGUGGCUCACAGAGAACCUCGUCCCAAGAGAACUUUCAGUCUGCCCCAAGUGUCGCGGCUCACAGAGAACCUUGUCCCAAGGGACCUUUAAGUCUGCCCCAAGUGUCACGGCUAACGAAGAACCUCGUCCCAAGGGACCCGUCAGUCUGCCCCAAAUGUCGCGGCUCAUGGAGAACCUUGUCUCAAGGGACCGGUCAGUCUGUCCCAAGUGUCGCAGCUAAUGAAGAACCUCGUCCCAAGGGACAAGUCAGUCUGCCCCAAGUGUCGCGGCUCACGAAGAACUUCGUCCUAAGGGACUUGUCAGUCUGCCCCAAGUGUCGCGGCUCACGAAGAACCUCGUCCCAAGGGACCUUUCAGUCUGCCCCAAGUGUCGCGGCUCAUGAAGAACCUCAUCCCGAGGGACCCGUCAGUCUGCCUAAGUGUUACGGCCCACAAAGAACCUCACCCCAAGGGACAUGCGAGAUUUAAAAGUUUAAGUCAACUUUUUUUGGUCAAUGAUCUAUGGAACAUACAUUGCAACAUGACUUGUUAUUGUAGGGUUUUCAUAAUGUAGCAUACUACCAAUAACUUUACGUGACAUUUUAACGCGCACUACUUCCCUUACCUCAUUUGUUUUGCUUGUGUUAGGAUCUUCAUCUGUUGGGAGGAGAACUAGUCUCAGUAUGUAAAAAUACACAAUUUAAUAUACCUAUAUUUUACUGUAAUUGCUCAAGCAAUACAGGUGAUGGUGAUUUAUCCAGUAAAUUACAGAAUUGUGUGGCGACCCUCAUUGUUUAUCGGGUAACAAAUAUGAAAUUAAUAAGCCCUCAACACAUAACUUAACAUAUGACCAGUGUUGAUUUUUGUCAUUAAAGAAAUUUCUGCUGAAAUUUUUUAAAGAAAGAUGUUAUCUCUGCUUUUAGGAACAUCAUCUAGUCCUAAUGUUUGUCCUUAUUUUUGGCUUAUUAUCACUGAAUGUCACCUGCAGGCAAAAUGAGGAAAGCCAUCAUGUGACCCAGAAUUAACAUUUCUUAUUUCCUCACCAUUAACGAUUUCAAAAUUAUUUUAUGCUUAACUCUAUGAAUAAUACUCAGAUCAUAACCCAAACGUUCAACCUGGGUAUACAAAAUGAAUAGUCAAAAAAGAUGAUUUUGGCUUUUAAUAAUAAUUAAACUGAAAAACUAGGCUGAGUGGAGAAAGAAGUGGUUUAUGCUAAAGACCUGGCUAUGGUGAUAAGAGCUUUGCAGUUUACUUCUUCAAUAAUACAUAUUCUUUUUUUCUCUUUUGAUCACUUGUACCAUUUUGCUUCAUGUUAGCAGAGACUCAUAGGCAGAUAAUUUGCAGUAAAUUGACCAGUCCAAGCAUACACUUUACUUAACAUGUGGUGUUGUAUCAUACAUUCAAAGAUAAGUUGUUGCUAUGUGUAUUCACUUUUUUCUAACCUCUGAUCCCAAUAGGGAUUUAAUCUCUGCCUCAUCCUGGAUUA
rnacentral:misc_RNA from 1 species